UGCAAGUCGAACGAUGAUACCUAGCUUGCUAGGUUGAUUAGUGGCGAACCCCUUUGUAACAUUUAGGAAUCUACCUUUUAGUGGGGGAUAGCUCUGGGAAACUCGAAUUAAUACCGCAUACGACCUACGGGUGAAAGGGGGCGCGAGCUCUUGCUAGGAGAUGAGCCUAAAUCAGAUUAGCUAGUUGGUGGGGUAAAGGCUUACCAAGGCGACGAUCUGUAACUGGUCUGAGAGGAUGAUCAGUCACACCGGAACUGAGACACGGUCCGGACUCCUACGGGAGGCAGCAGUGGGGAAUAUUGGACAAUGGGGGGAACCCUGAUCCAGCCAUGCCGCGUGUGUGAAGAAGGCCUUUUGGCUGUAAAGCACUUUAAGCAGGGAGGAGAGGCUAAUGGUUAAUACCCAUUAGACGAGACGUUACCUGCAGAAUAAGCACCGGCUAACUCUGUGCCAGCAGCCGCGGUAAUACAGAGGGUGCGAGCGUUAAUCGGAAUUACUGGGCGUAAAGCGAGUGUAGGUGGCUCAUUAAGUCACAUGUGAAAUCCCCGGGCUCAACCUGGGAACUGCAUGUGAUACUGGUGGUGCUAGAAUAUGUGAGAGGGAAGUAGAAUUCCAGGUGUAGCGGUGAAAUGCGUAGAGAUCUGGAGGAAUACCGAUGGCGAAGGCAGCUUCCUGGCAUAAUAUUGACACUGAGAUUCGAAAGC
rnacentral:rRNA from 1 species